UACGAAGGGGGCUAGCGUUGCUCGGAAUCACUGGGCGUAAAGCGCACGUAGGCGGGUCUCUAAGUCAGGGGUGAAAUCCCGGAGCUCAACUCCGGAACUGCCUUUGAUACUGGGGAUCUCGAGUCCGGGAGAGGUGAGUGGAACUCCGAGUGUAGAGGUGAAAUUCGUAGAUAUUCGGAAGAACACCAGUGGCGAAGGCGGCUCACUGGCCCGGUACUGACGCUGAGGUGCGAAAGCGUGGGGAGCAAACAGG
rnacentral:rRNA from 1 species